rnacentral:rRNA from 1 species
UACAGAGGUCUCAAGCGUUGUUCGGAUUCAUUGGGCGUAAAGGGUGUGUAGGUGGCGCGCUAAGUCGGGUGUGAAAUUUCGGAGCUUAACUCCGAAACUGCAUUCGAUACUGGCGUGCUUGAGGACUGGGAGAGGAGACUGGAAUUCCUGGUGUAGCGGUGAAAUGCGCAGAUAUCAGGAGGAACACCGAUGGCGAAGGCAGGUCUCGUGGGCCAUAACUGACGCUGAGAAGCGAAAGCAUGGGGAGCGAACAGG